rnacentral:tRNA from 1 species
GCCGGUGUGGCGGAAUGGCAGACGCGGCGCACUCAAAAUGCGCUGUCCGCGAGGGCGUGCGGGUUCGAGUCCCGCCACCGGCA